rnacentral:rRNA from 1 species
UUCCGAUGACCGGCCUCUACAUACAUUGGUCUCGUGAUCGCGCGUCACUACCGCGGGAAGAGUGCACUUAUUAGAACAAAACCAAGCGGCUUCGGCUGUUCUUCGGUUGACUCAUAGUAACUGAGCUGAUCGCAUGGUCUUGCACCGGCGACGUGUCUUUCAAGUAUCUGCCGUAUCAACUUUCGAUGGUAGUGUAUCUGACUACCAUGGUGAUCACGCGUAACGGAGAAUAAGGGUUCGGCUCCGGAGAGUUCGCCUGAGAAAUCGCGAACACAUCUAAGGAAGGCAGCAGGCGCGAAAAUUACCCACUCUCAGCACGAGGAGGUAGUGACGAAAAAUAACGAGACCGUUCUCUUUCGAGGCCGGUCAUCGGAAUGGGUACAAUUUAAACCCUUUAACGAGUAUCUAUGAGAGGGCAAGUCUGGUGCCAG